rnacentral:tRNA from 1 species
GUCCGGGUGGCGGAAUUGGCAGACGCGCUAGCUUGAGGUGCUAGUGCCCGCAAGGGCAUGGGGGUUCAAGUCCCCCCUCGGACA